ACCUAGGAGCAAAUGAGGUAAUAAGGGUUGACAACCACAAUACCUAUCUCUUUCUUCCCCUGUAAAUGAGCAAUUGGGCUGCAAACAGAUUGUGCUUAGAUAAACUACAUUAUCUUAGAUAUGUGUUCCAGGUCAGUGGCUCUCAAACUACCUGUGGUAAAAGACCAGUAUCUUCCCCUCCCAAUCCAUCAUAGACUUACCAUUUUUAAAAAAUACAAUCAAAACAAAAUUAAAAAGACAUAUAUUGGGAACAUAAAAUUACUCUGUCAAAUUGCUACAAAAGGUUUUAAAUGUUAAGUCUUCAUAUCUGUACUCACAUCACAGAAGUGUAAUAAAAAGUUCAUGUACUGGCAGUGUUCUGCAGAGCGCACUCAGAACUUAUCUAGGGCACUAACAGUUAUGUUCCUGUCCAUGCUUCUCUUUUCAGCUCUUUUCAAGGGUAGGACCACCUGUCCCAAACUGAGCCCAUCAUGAUCUUUUGUCCAGUAAUAUAAACUAGAAUUUAUAUUUUCAGUUUAUAUAGGUUUACUCAAAAUGAGGACAGUAUGCCAGGCAGGGACAAGUGCCUGUAGCCCAAGCUACUCAGAAGGCUGAGGCAUGUGGAUCACUUGAGCCCAGGAGUUCUGGGCUGUAGUGUGCUAUGCUGAUUGGGUGUCUGCACUAAAUUCAGCAUCAAUAUAGUAACCUCCCAGGAGCUGGGGACUACCAGGUUGCCUUUUGAACCAGCCCAGGUUGGAAAUGGAGCAGGUCAAAGCUCCUGGGCUGAUCGGUAGUGGGUUCAUGCCUGUGAAGAGCCACUGCACUCUAGCUUGGGCAACACAGUGAGACCCCCAUCUCUAAAAUAAUUUUUUUUUAUGAGCACAGAAAACUUGGAAGUUAUGGGACAACCAUUUUGGCCAUGUGCACACCAAAACAAGGAAAGCUGGUCUUCAGAGAGUCAAAAGUCAAACAAAUGCAGACAGAAGAAAGGAAUGAAAAACAUGGCUGUAAGCUCCAGCUGCACUUGAUUUCCCUCUAAGCCCUGGCCAGCCAUUUAAGAAGUCCACCUACCUUGCUAGAGAAAUCAUGUGGAAAUGUCACAUGGGGGAUACAAGCCCCCCAAGCUUCCUGAAAAUUCAUGGAGAGAAAGGCGCAGCCUCUCAGCCACCCCUUCCAAGAUACCAAGGAGCCAUUUUGGAUGUGUCAACCCUUGUCAGGCCCCAGAUGACUGAAGACUCAGCUGAUACGUGGAACAGAACCUUCAGCUAAGUCCAGUCAAUCCAGAGAAUCAUGAGAAUUAAUAAAAUGAUUAUUGUUUUAAGGCACUAAGUUUUGGGGUACUUACACGGCAACGGAUGACUGAAACAUGUCCCACUUAUGAGCUCCUUGAAAGCAGAGAGAAUGUUAAUCUAUCUCAUAGGAAAAUUAUUUGAAAGACACCAUGUGAUUGUAGACUUUUAAAACAAUUUUUUUAAAACCUCAUACUAGGUUGAAUAGUGUCCCUCCAAAAUUCAUGUCCAUGCAGAAUGUGACCUUUAGAUGAGGUCAUACUGGGUUAGGGUAGGCCAUAAAUUCAAUGACUGGUGUCCUUCUAAGAGGCCAUGUAAAGACAGACAAGGUAAGAAGGCCACGUGACAACAGAAGCAGAGACUGGAAUGAUACAGCCACAAGCCAAGAAAUACCAAGGAUUGCUGGGAGCUACGAGAAGCUUGUAAAGAGGAGUCCCUUUCACAUCCUACAGCCUUCAGAGGAAGCAGGGUCCUGUUGACACCCUGGUUUUAGACUUCUGGCCUCCAGAACUAAGAAUAAAUUUGUAUUGCUUUAAGCCAUUAUAAUUUGUGAUAAUUUGUUAUGGCAGCCUAAGCAACUAAUACAAACCUUUCAUUAGUUUCACUAACAAACCCUUUGGUGGGCAAAUCAUAAUAAGGUUCCCUAGUGGCUGAUAACAACAGGCUGAAAGCCACUGAUAAGAAUCAUCUCAUGCUCCUCUCUGUUCUAAUUUAAUUACUUUAUAAUAAUUAUGGAUAAUUAUAUGUUAUGUUCACAAAGUGCUCCAUACAUUAUUGUUAUUCAUUUACCCUCCCAAAAUUAGCAAACAAUUAUAGUUUCUCCCAGGUUAAGACCAAAUAUGUCAGUUUAAUCGAUUUGCCUGUGUGAAUGGAAUGGAAAUGCAAUUUUAAUUUCAGCACUUUGUAUUCCACAGACUGCUGCCUCAAGGCUUUCUAAGCUAUUAUCUGAAUACCUCCAAAACUCUUUCUUUCUUUCAGCACUCUUCCCUCAGGUUCUGUGACUACCCCACUGCAAACUUGGCCUCUGACCUGUGGCAAGAUGACUUUCUUCAGCUGCUCCUGAGUGAAGUGCUCCACGUAGGCCUCGAUGUGAGACAGCAGCACCAUCCGCACAUGCUCUUCAUGAACUUCAAACAACUGGAGAAGCACGGGGAUCACCCGUGACUGGAACAGGGCUGGUGAGACAUGCCUUUUGCCUUCUGCCAUGAUUUUAAGGAACUCCCCAGCCACGUGGAACUUUUGUAAAUUGCCCAGUCUUGGGUAUGUCUUCAUCAGCAGCGUGAAAACAGGGUAAUACAGUAAAUUGGUACCAGUAGAGUGGGGCGUUGCUGAAAAGAUACCCGAAAAUGUGGAAGGGACUUUGGAACUGGGUAACUGGCAAAGGCUGGAACAGUUUGGAGGGUUCAGAAGAAGAGAGGAAAAUGUGGGAAAGUUUGGAAUUUCCUAGAGACUUGUUGAAUGGCUUUGACAAAAAUGCUGCUAGUGAUAUGAACAAUAAGGUCCAGGCUGAGGUGGUCUCAGAUGGAGAUGAGGAACUUGUUGGGAACUGGGGCAAAGGUGACUCUUGUUAUGUUUUAGCAGAGACUGGUGGCACUUUGCCCCUGCCCUAAAGAACUGUGGAACUUUGAACUUAAGAGAGGAUUUAGGGUAUCUGGUGGAAGAAAUUUCUAAGCAGCAGAGCAUUCAAGAGGUGACUUGGGUGCUGUUAAAGGCAUUCAGUUUUAAAAGUAAAACACAGCAUAAAAGCUUGGGAAGUUUGCAGCCUGACAAUGCAAUAGAAAAGAAAAUCUCAGGUGACAUUCAAGCCAGCUGCAGAAGUUUGCAUAAGUAAUGAGGGGCCAAAUGUUAAUCCCCAAGAAAAUGGGGAAAAUGUCUCCAGGGCAUGUCAGAGAUCUUCAUGGCAGCCCCUCCCAUCACAGGCCUGCAGGCCUAGGAGGAAAAAGUGGUUUCAUGGGCCAGGCCCAGGGUCCCCAUGCUGUGUGAAGCCUAGGGACUUGGUGCCCUGCAUCUCAGCCGCUCUAGCCGUGGCAGAAAGGGGCCGACGUAGAGCUCGGCAUGUGGCUUCAGAGGGUGCAAGCCCCAAGCCUUGGCAGCUUCCACAUGGUGUUGAGCCUGCAAGUGCACAUUAGUCAAGAACUGGGGUUUGGGAACCUCCACCUAGAUUUCAGAAGAUGUAUGGAAAUGCCUGGAUGCCCAGGCAGAAUUUGCUGCACGGGCAGGGCCCUUAUGGAGAACCUCUACUAGGGCAGUGUGAAAAGGAAAUGUGAGGUCGGUGCCCCCCACACAGAGUUCCUACUGGGGCACUGCCUAAUGGAGCUGUGAGAAGGGGGCCAGCAUCCUCCAGAUCCCAGAAUGGUAGAUCCACUGACAGCUUGCACCAUGUGCCUGGAAAAGCUGCAGACAUUCAAGACCAGCCUGUGAAAGCAGCCAGGAGGGAAACUGUACCCUACAGAGCCACAGGGGUAGAAGCUGCCCAAGACCAAGGGAACCCACCGCUUGCAUCAGCGUGACCCGGAUGCGAGACAUGGAAUCAAAGGAGAUCAUUUUGGAGCUUUAAGAUUUGACUGCCUCACUGGAUUUCAGACUUCCCUGUAGCCCCUUUGUUUAGCUAAUUUCUCCCAUUUGGAAUGGCUGUAUUUACCCAAUGCCUGUACCCCCAUUGUAUCUAGGAAGUAACUAACUUGCUUGUGAUUUUACAGGCUCAUAGGUGGAAGGGACUUGCCUCGUCUCAGAUGAGACAUUGGACUAUGGACUUUUGAGUUAAUGCUGAAAUGAGUGAAGACUUUGGGGGACUGUUGAGAAGACAUGACUGGUUUUGAAAUGUGAGGACAUGAGACUGGGGUGGGGCCAGGGGAGGAAUGAUGUGGUUUGGCUGUGACUCUCAUCUUGGAUUGUAACUCCCACAAUUCCCAUGUGUCAUGGGCAGGAAUUCGGUGGGAGGUGAUUGAAUUAUGGAGGUAGAUCUCUCCUGUGCUGUUCUGGUAAUAGUGAGUAGGUCUCACAAGACCUGAUGGUUUUAUAAAAGGGAAUUUCCCUGCACAAGCUCUCUUCUCUUGUCUGCUGCCAUGUGAGAAGUGCCUUUCACCUUCCGCCAUGAUGAGGCCUCCCCAGCCACAUGGAACUGUUAGUCCAAUAAACCUCUUUCUUUUGUAAAUU